AGGAAGCAGGCAGGAGGUGAAAGAGUGAAAUUGGGGAACUGGUUCUGAAUGGAGCCUGUGUCACUGGGAAGAUGGUAAUCCCACCAAUGGAAAGAGAGAAGGAAGAACAGCUCUGGGAGAGAACAUGACACUUAAUUGGAGAUGCCAGAAAAGACAUGCAAGAUGUCCAGAUGCAGCAGAAAGCACAGCGGUCGGAUCUUCCCCCACGUCGAUAUUUUAACAAGGUGACCCAAAAGCCUUAGUGCACUUGGAAGCUUUGUUUUUAAAAAGUUUGACAUUGUACUGAGGCUUCCAGGACACCUCAUCCAUACUCAUCAGUGUGCACGCUAGUCCCGCUGCCUGUAAAAUUAAAGCCACUGGCGGGGACUUUUUCAUUUUGUCUUGGAUCCCCAGUGCUCACUUUAGGAGGUACCUAAUAAAUGCAUAUGUAACUGAA